rnacentral:rRNA from 1 species
UACGGGGGGAGCAAGCGUUGUUCCGGAUUUACUGGGCGUAAAGGGCGCGUAGGCGGCCACCGCAAGUCGACUGUGAAAUCUCCGGGCUUAACCCGGAAAGGUCAGCCGAUACUGCGGGGCUAGAGUGCAGAAGGGGCAACUGGAAUUCUCGGUGUAGCGGUGAAAUGCGUAGAUAUCGAGAGGAACACCUGCGGCGAAGGCGGGUUGCUGGGCUGAUACUGACGCUGAGGCGCGAAAGCCAGGGGAGCGAACGGG